rnacentral:rRNA from 1 species
UGAGGAAUAUUGCGCAAUGGGGGAAACCCUGACGCAGCGACGCCGCGUGAGUGAGGAAGGUUUUCGGAUCGUAAAGCUCUGUCAGAAGGGAAGAAGUGUUAUACAGUUAACACCUGUA